rnacentral:rRNA from 1 species
CGCCCGAGGACCCCCAAACUCUGUUUUUAGUGGAACUUCUGAGUAAAACAAACAAAUAAAUCAAAACUUUCAACAACGGAUCUCUUGGUUCUGGCAUCGAUGAAGAACGCAGCAAAAUGCGAUAAGUAAUGUGAAUUGCAGAAUUCAGUGAAUCAUCGAAUCUUUGAACGCACAUUGCGCCCGCCAGUAUUCUGGCGGGCAUGCCUGUUCGAGCGUCAUUUCAACCCUCAAGCUCAGCUUGGUGUUGGGACUCGCGGUAACCCGCGUUCCCCAAAUCGAUUGGCGGUCACGUCGAGCUUCCAUAGCGUAGUAAUCAUACACCUCGUUACUGGUAAUCGUCGCGGCCACGCCGUUAAACCCCNAACUUCUGAAUGUUGACCUCGGAUCA